rnacentral:rRNA from 1 species
UUAAGUCAUUAAAUUUAUAAGAUUUGGCGGUAUAAUUUAAUUAGAGGAAUCUGUAAUUUAAUUGAUGAUCCACGAUAAGAAUAACUUAAUAAUUUAUGUAUUGCUGUUUUAAAAAUUUUAUUAAGUAAAAUUUUUUAAUUAAAAUUUAAUUUAAUUCAAGUCAAAAUAUAGUUUAUUUAAGUUAUGGAUUACAAUUUAAAUUUUAAAUUGGAUUUAAUAGUAA